GUGCCAGCCGCCGCGGUAAUACGGAGGGGGCUAGCGUUGUUCGGAAUUACUGGGCGUAAAGCGCACGUAGGCGGACCAUCAAGUCGGGGGUGAAAGCCCAGGGCUCAACCCUGGAACUGCCCUCGAUACUGUUGGUCUGGAGGACGAGAGAGGCGAGUGGAAUUCCGAGUGUAGAGGUGAAAUUCGUAGAUAUUCGGAGGAACACCAGUGGCGAAGGCGGCUCGCUGGCUCGAUCCUGACGCUGAGGUGCGAAAGCGUGGGGAGCAAACAGGAUUAGAAACCCGAGUAGUCC
rnacentral:rRNA from 1 species